UGGGUCGGCCAGACGGUCGCGUCACCGGCUCCGGCCGGUGCCGAGGAACGUCCGGGCUCCGCAGAGCAGGACGGUGGGUAACGCCCACCCGGGGUAACCCGCGAGACAGUGCCACAGAGAACAGACCGCCGGAGCGAUCCGGUAAGGGUGAAACGGUGGGGUAAGAGCCCACCAGCGCCCGGGGUGACCCGGGCGGCUCGGUAAACCUCGUCCGGAGCAAGGUCAGACAGGACACCAGGGGGCUGCUCGUCCCGUGUCCGGGUAGACCGCUAGAGGGGCACGGCAACGUGUCCCCGAGAGAGAUGGCCGUCACGGACCUUCGGGUCCGGACAGAACCCGGCGUACCGGCCGGCCCACCGC
rnacentral:RNase_P_RNA from 2 species